rnacentral:tRNA from 1 species
UGGCUCAGAGGUUAAAGCUCCUGCCUCCAAUGCAAGAGACCCAGGUUCGAUUCCUGG